rnacentral:lncRNA from 1 species
CUCUUUCUUCAGUUGGAAACCCUGGACUGGUGUCUCGCAGUUCACUUUGGAGAUGUUACUUUCACUGGGAGUUUCAUGAUUUGUGUUUUAGCCAAAUCACUCUGAGACGCAGCACCAGAUCCAAGAUCAGCUUUCAUCGCAUUACUUUCAUCUUCCCCUGCAGUCACAUCCUGACCUUCACACCAACUCUGACACCCUCCGCUAUAAUGAGUUGGAGCUCAUGGCGAAAGCAGUAUUUGGCUUUCAUCUUUCUUUAAGAAGUGAGUGACAUAUCUGUCCCACAAACAUUAUUUCCAGUCAGCAUGGACGCUGCAGGAGCAGUUGCUAGGAGCAUUUACAUGCACACUGGCUCACUAUUAUUCAGAGGGUUGGAACCAGCCAAUGAAAACCUGUCCUUCAGAAUGUCACCGCAGUGAAACCAUCUAUCCAGUGAGGAGGGACAAAGGAAGGAAUGGUGCAUUUACCAACAGCAACCAAAUCCUGCAUGGUAUGCCCUUAUUUUCUGUCAGCACCAAACAGGAACAAGUGACUGUUUUUCUUUAAUUUGGAUAAAUGUACAGGAG